UCACAGCGUUUCCAAGAUUCCAAGACAUAGCAGGAAUGAUUGAGCAAGAUGUUAGUCUGUUCUUUGGUGAUGCAACCUCUGUAAAGUUCCUGGAGAAGUGGUUUACUCUCUACAAGCAGGAAGUCAUUGACCAAAGCCGUGGCCUCACACAGACAGGCGACCUGCAAGACCUGGUUCAAAAUGCUGGAUCCACAACAGAAGUGGAAAAUGGAUGUCAUCCAUUUUGGUCCUUGUCCACCUUCUGCCACCAUCACCUCAUGGACGCAAGAGACCAGGAAAAAUCUCAGCCAGACACACCAGUUACCACAUUGUGAAGUUUAUCAAGACUGGGACCAGCAUCCAGGGGCAUCUGGAGAGCGUCACGGAAAGCCUUCAAC